UACGUAGGUGGCAAGCGUUAUCCGGAAUUACUGGGCGUAAAGCGCACGCAGGCGGUCUUUUAAGUUUGACGUGAAAGCUCCCGGCUUAACUGGGAGGGGUCGUUGAAGACUGGAAGACUUGAGGCAAUGAGAGGGGUGUAGAAUUCCCGGUGUAGUGGUGGAAUGCGUAGAUAUCGGGGGGAAUACCGGUGGCGAAGGCGGGUCUCUGGGCCGAUACUGACGCUGAGGAGCGAAAGCGUGGGGAGCGAACAGG
rnacentral:rRNA from 1 species